rnacentral:rRNA from 1 species
CCGGAGAAUGUUAUCACGGGAGACACACGGCGGGUGCUAACGUCCGUCGUGAAGAGGGAAACAACCCAGACCGCCAGCUAAGGUCCCAAAGUCAUGGUUAAGUGGGAAACGAUGUGGGAAGGCCCAGACAGCCAGGAUGUUGGCUUAGAAGCAGCCAUCAUUUAAAGAAAGCGUAAUAGCUCACUGGUCGAGUCGGCCUGCGCGGAAGAUGUAACGGGGCUAAACCAUGCACCGAAGCUGCGGCAGCGAACGUAUCACUUAAAGCGAUUCAGCGGAUGACGAUUGACGGAGCGAAGCGACGUCAAAGCGUAUACAAAGUCGAGUCGGUUUAAGGAUACGUUCGUUGGGUAGGGGAGCGUUCUGUAAGCCUGCGAAGGUGGCCUGUGAGGGUUGCUGGAGGUAUCAGAAGUGCGAAUGCUGACAUAAGUAACGAUAAAGCGGGUGAAAAGCCCGCUCGCCGGAAGACCAAGGGUUCCUGUCCAACGUUAAUCGGGGCAGGGUGAGUCGACCCCUAAGGCGAGGCCGAAAGGCGUAGUCGAUGGGAAACGGGUUAAUAUUCCCGUACUUGGUGUUACUGCGAAGGGGGGACGGAGAAGGCUAUGUUGGCCGGGCGACGGUUGUCCCGGUUUAAGCGUGUAGGUGUGUGUUCCAGGUAAAUCCGGUUCACUUUAACACUGAGGCGUGAUGACGAGGCACUACGGUGCUGAAGCAACAAAUGCCCUGCUUCCAGGAAAAGCCUCUAAGCAUCAGGUAACAUCAAAUCGUACCCCAAACCGACACAGGUGGUCAGGUAGAGAAUACCAAGGCGCUUGAGAGAACUCGGGUGAAGGAACUAGGCAAAAUGGUGCCGUAACUUCGGGAGAAGGCACGCUGACAUGUAGGUGAAGUGAUUUACUCAUGGAGCUGAAGUCAGUCGAAGAUACCAGCUGGCUGCAACUGUUUAUUAAAAACACAGCACUGUGCAAACACGAAAGUGGACGUAUACGGUGUGACGCCUGCCCGGUGCCGGAAGGUUAAUUGAUGGGGUCAGCGCAAGCGAAGCUCCUGAUCGAAGCCCCGGUAAACGGCGGCCGUAACUAUAACGGUCCUAAGGUAGCGAAAUUCCUUGUCGGGUAAGUUCCGACCUGCACGAA